CACGUAGGGUGCGAGCGUUGUCCGGAAUUAUUGGGCGUAAAGAGCUCGUAGGCGGUGUGUCACGUCGUUCGUGAAAACCUGCAGCUUAACUGUGGGCGUGCGGUCGAUACGGGCAUCACUGGAGUUCGGCAGGGGAGACUGGAAUUCCUGGUGGAGCGGUGAAAUGCGUAGAUAUCGCUUGGAACGCCGAAGGUGAAAACAGACUGCUGGGGUUGCGGCCGACGCCUGAGGACA
rnacentral:rRNA from 1 species